UACAGGGGGUGCAAACGUUGCUCGGAAUUAUUGGGCGUAAAGCGCACGUAGGCGGUUCGUUAUGUCAGAUGUGAAAGCCCUUGGCUCAACUGAGGAAGUGCAUCUGAAACUGGCGAGCUAGAGUAUGUAAGAGGGUCGCGGAAUUCCCGGUGUAGAGGUGAAAUUCGUAGAUAUCGGGAGGAACACCGGUGGCGAAGGCGGCGACCUGGGGCAGUACUGACGCUGAGGUGCGAAAGCGUGGGGAGCAAACAGG
rnacentral:rRNA from 1 species